AGGUCAUUGAUGCCUGGAAGGCCAGAGACUUCUCUGGGUGUCACAUCUAAACAAAAUCCUGGCUGCUGAAGCAUCUUCCCUCCCUGGAGUGGAUCCUGCUGCCAUCUUAGCUAGGAAUUGCUCAUAGUGCCAUAACUGUAGCCCUUGUGACUUUCUGUGUCCUCUAGGUAUUUAAUGAGAAAAAGACUUUGUUCUGAUUGUCAAUAAAAACAAAUAAACCUGCAGAUAUGAUUGUGAAGCAAUAAACUCAUUUUUGCAAACUU